UGCAGUCGAACGAGAGAGAAGGAGCUUGCUUCUUCGAUCGAGUGGCGAACGGGUGAGUAACGCGUGAGGAACCUGCCUCAAAGAGGGGGACAACAGUUGGAAACGACUGCUAAUACCGCAUAAGCCCACGGGUCGGCAUCGACCUGAGGGAAAAGGAGCAAUCCGCUUUGAGAUGGCCUCGCGUCCGAUUAGCUAGUUGGUGAGGUAACGGCCCACCAAGGCGACGAUCGGUAGCCGGACUGAGAGGUUGAACGGCCACAUUGGGACUGAGACACGGCCCAGACUCCUACGGGAGGCAGCAGUGGGGAAUAUUGCACAAUGGGGGAAACCCUGAUGCAGCGACGCCGCGUGGAGGAAGAAGGUCUUCGGAUUGUAAACUCCUGUUGUUGAGGAAGAUAAUGACGGUACUCAACAAGGAAGUGACGGCUAACUACGUGCCAGCAGCCGCGGUAAAACGUAGGUCACAAGCGUUGUCCGGAAUUACUGGGUGUAAAGGGAGCGCAGGCGGGAAGACAAGUUGGAAGUGAAAUCUAUGGGCUCAACCCAUAAACUGCUUUCAAAACUGUUUUUCUUGAGUAGUGCAGAGGUAGGCGGAAUUCCCGGUGUAGCGGUGGAAUGCGUAGAUAUCGGGAGGAACACCAGUGGCGAAGGCGGCCUACUGGGCACCAACUGACGCUGAGGCUCGAAAGUGUGGGUAGCAAACAGGAUUAGAUACCCUGGUAGUCCACACCGUAAACGAUGAUUACUAGGUGUUGGAGGAUUGACCCCUUCAGUGCCGCAGUUAACACAAUAAGUAAUCCACCUGGGGAGUACGACCGCAAGGUUGAAACUCAA
rnacentral:rRNA from 1 species